rnacentral:rRNA from 1 species
CCUACGGGAGGCAGCAGUAGGGAAUUUUCGUCAAUGGGCGCAAGCCUGAACGAGCGAUGCCGCGUGAGUGAAGAAGGCCUUCGGGUCGUAAAGCUCUGUUUCGGGGGAAAAAAGGCAGCAUCAGGAAAUGGGUGCUGACUGAUGGUGCCCCGCCAGAAAGUCACGGCUAACUACGUGCCAGCAGCCGCGGUAAUACGUAGGUGGCGAGCGUUAUCCGGAUUGAUUGGGCGUAAAGGGUGCGCAGGCGGUCCUGCAAGUCUGGAGUGAAACGGAUGAGCUCAACUCAUGCAUGGCUUUGGAAACUGGAGGACGGGAGAGCGGGGGAGGGAGGUGGAAGUCGAGGUGUAGCGGUAAAAUGCGUAGAGAUGUGGAAGAACCCCGGUGGCGAAGGCGGCCGGCUGGCCUGUUGCUGACGCUGAGGCACGAAAGCGUGGGGAGCAAAUAGGAUUAGAUACCCGGGUAGUC